CAAAGCGCCCCCUCUAACGCGAGCGAGGUUGUCCACGCUGCCGCCGUGGGGUUUGUACGCCGAGCACCAUGCAAACAACAGCAGCAGCAGCAGCGAGCGAGCCAGCAAGCCACGGCAGCCACCCACACGCGCCUCGCCGCGAAACUAUUGUUUGUCGAGCUGUCAGGACCCCCUAGCGUAGCCUCUUGAUUAAUGGGCAGCGUGGGCCGCGGGGGGGGGGAUGGUGGUGGUGGUGGCGGGGUGGUGAUGAACAAAGCGCCACCCCCGGGCCCUGCACAGAAUCGCGUGGAAACUCCGAACGCAGAAAUCGUGUGGGUGUAUGAAUGUCAUUGAGGCCCUUUAGCCUAAAACAAAACAAAAAGAGGGAAACGCACCGGCGAAUGUUAUUGUUGUGUUUGUCUGUCUGUCUGUCCGCCCGGUUGUGUUUUGCGUGGUCGGUGAAUUGCAUUGCUUUAUUUAUUAUUUCCCGUUUUCUUUUUCUGCUGAUGGCGGCGGGACGUGGCGCGGAAGGUGGGUGGCAGUGGUGGUGAUGGGAGACGUGAGUGGGAGUGCGGCAGAAUGCAGCGAUGGAUUUUUGUUUAGGGUUGCCAAGUCCCGAAGGUGGAAGUUGCUGGUGAGGGAAUGCACGGGGAAGAGGAGGAGGAGGGCUCACACUCACGGGUGCCUCUCUCGAGAUUGCCUGGAAUUCACUGUAAUGCUACUGAAGCUGUGGUUUAGGGGCUUGACGCGGUGGGUUGACCAUACUUCACCACACCGGUCCGGUGAAGAGGGAUGAAGGGGAGCACACUUUGCCUUGAGUACCUGGACUGGUAUGGGUACCUCUAUCCAGCGCCACUAUAGCUACUCAGCACUAAAAGCGGUCCGUGCGUCAUUCGGUGCGGACGCGAGAUGCCCGGCCGGCCGCUUAUGUAAGCGCGCGCGCGCUCGCUCGCUCGUCCGCUGCCGCUGCCUGCCAGUGCGGACGCGAGAUGGGAGCUCAAGAGGAGGAUGCGAUGGCCGCUCGUCCUCCGGGCUCCCGGGGCGCGCGGUUCCGUGACCCCCCCCCCCCUCACGCCCCAACCAUCACCCCCCCCCCCUCCCAGGCCUCGUGGGAUGCUGUGGCGGGCGGGCGGGGCUGUCUGAAUGCGUUGUCCGUCUAUGCGUUGUCAUCGAUUAAUCUGUCAUCGAUACCAUCAAUCGUUGGCUUUCGUUUUUUAUGAUGAUUGAGAAACUCCCGAAUCGUUUGAACCCCUUCCCGAAAAUGAAAAAAAACACGCAAAAAAGAGAGACACGGUCCAAUGGAUAAUGAUGUUGUUGUUUUAUAGGGAACACAGGGACACGGUGGUGGUGGUGGUGAUGGGUGGUGGUGGUUGUGAUUGUUUUUAAUGGUAGAUGAUUAUGGUAGCGAUGUAUCAUGGUUGUGAUUGACCAUGACGAUGAUGAUGAUAAUGAUGGUGAUUGCUGAUCAGAAUUUUCUGGUGAUGUUUUCUUGAUGUUUGUUGAUGAUGAUUACGGUGGUGAUUGGUGGUGAUUGCUGAUGGUGGUGUUUGUUGAUGGUGGUGGUGAUGAUAAUGAUGUAGGUAGCCUAUAAAGCCGAUACUAGGGAACGGGUUCUCUCAGCGGGCUCUAACAAGAUCAUAUACUGUAUAUAGUAUCAUCUGAUUGACAUUAACCCACUAUCAUUAUCACGACGCAAUGAUGAUUAUGAUCAUGAUGAUGGACGCUGUGGUGACCUAUCAUGACGCCGUAGCAUGAACAUUGCUUUGACAAUAUAAUUAAAAUCCUCAUCAUUAUGAUCAUCGCUCGACAGUGAAACAUUUUCACCAUCGCCACCAUCACCAUCGUAGCCGCUCACAGCGAUGUGAUGAACUUGUAAUCCACAGCUGUCUUCCCCACUCGCCCCUCCCUCACGCACCACUCACCCCUCCCUCCGGCCAAAUCGCUGUGGUUAAUGCCUGCACACAGUGACACGGGAACAUCCAGAAUUACCCCCGGCUUCGCAACCACCAGUGUCUCCCUCAUACCCCCCCCGCUUCACCCCCCUCCCUUUCCACUGCCCCCCCCCCCCGUUUCCCUCCCAACACCCCCCGCUGGUGCAAGGCAGCUAAUAAAGCUGCCAGAGCCCCGCAGAUGAAGAGGGAUGGCUCUGACAUUUAGCGGUUUCGGCACUUUCCCGAUGGCUACCUGCCAUUGGGUCAACUCUCUCCGCUAUCACCACCAUCCCCAACCCCUCCCCCCCUCCCUCCUCUUCCCUCCUCCAUGCAAAAGCGUAGACUCAUUCUUCUGGCGUUGAAUAGAGGUGAGGGUCCCAUAUUUUAUAGGGAGUACACUUGCCAAUACUAUCUGGAAAUCCAGCAGCAUUUUAUUUAACGAGCCUCACUGCUGAUGAGAUCCAGAAGGUGGGAGUUUUCUUGCUCAUUCAGAUGCUCCUGGAAACCCAAAAUUAGGCGGAUGGACCAACACAUUCUUCGUACGAUUUUACGUGGAGAGACGAGAAUGUGACUGAUGCGUAAUGUCUCCCUAAAUACGUUGCCACUUGUUUCACGGCCACCGAGGAGACGGAGCGACGAAAUCGGCUCGUGCGCAGACGUCAGGCGGAUUAUCACGGCGCAGGAUCGUGGUCGGUUGGCUGCAUCUUGGGGAGGCAUUCAUCCAGCGGUGGAUCGACCAUGGCUGACGACAAUGAUUAAAUUCUCCACUGCUACGCUAAUCGAUGAUUGCGCGCAAGAGGUGCAUCCCAAUGAGCGGCUGCCAGCGAGGGGAGGAGU